CUAGAGAUUAGAGUUUGAUCAUGGCUCAGAUUGAACGCUGGCGGCAUGCUUUACACAUGCAAGUCGAACGGUAACAGGUCUUCGGAUGCUGACGAGUGGCGAACGGGUGAGUAAUACAUCGGAACGUGCCUAGUAGUGGGGGAUAACUACUCGAAAGAGUAGCUAAUACCGCAUGAGAUCUACGGAUGAAAGCAGGGGACCUUCGGGCCUUGUGCUACUAGAGCGGCUGAUGGCAGAUUAGGUAGUUGGUGGGGUAAAGGCUUACCAAGCCUGCGAUCUGUAGCUGGUCUGAGAGGACGACCAGCCACACUGGGACUGAGACACGGCCCAGACUCCUACGGGAGGCAGCAGUGGGGAAUUUUGGACAAUGGGCGAAAGCCUGAUCCAGCAAUGCCGCGUGCAGGAUGAAGGCCCUCGGGUUGUAAACUGCUUUUGUACGGAACGAAAAGCCUGGGGCUAAUAUCCCCGGGUCAUGACGGUACCGUAAGAAUAAGCACCGGCUAACUACGUGCCAGCAGCCGCGGUAAUACGUAGGGUGCAAGCGUUAAUCGGAAUUACUGGGCGUAAAGCGUGCGCAGGCGGUUUUGUAAGACAGUGGUGAAAUCCCCGGGCUCAACCUGGGAACUGCCAUUGUGACUGCAAGGCUAGAGUGCGGCAGAGGGGGAUGGAAUUCCGCGUGUAGCAGUGAAAUGCGUAGAUAUGCGGAGGAACACCGAUGGCGAAGGCAAUCCCCUGGGCCUGCACUGACGCUCAUGCACGAAAGCGUGGGGAGCAAACAGGAUUAGAUACCCUGGUAGUCCACGCCCUAAACGAUGUCAACUGGUUGUUGGGUCUUAACUGACUCAGUAACGAAGCUAACGCGUGAAGUUGACCGCCUGGGGAGUACGGGCCGCCAAGGUUGAAACUCAAGGGAAUUGACGGGGACCCCGCACAAGCCGGUGGGAUGAUGUGGGUUUAAUUUCGAUGCAACGCGGAAAAACCUUACCCACCUUUUGACAUGGCAGGGAACUUUACCAGAGAUGGGUUUGGUGGCUUCGAAAGGAGAACUCUGCACACCAGGUGCUCUGCAUGCCUGUCGUCAGCUCGUGUCCGUGAGAAUUGUUGGCUUAAGUUCCCGCAACGAGCGCCAACCCUUGGCCAUAAUGGCUACUUCAGUUGAGUCACUCUUAUAUGGAACUGGCCUGUGGUGACAAAACCCCUGUAGAUGG
rnacentral:rRNA from 1 species